rnacentral:rRNA from 1 species
GAUGAACGCUAGCGGCAGGCUUAACACAUGCAAGUCGAGGGGCAGCGCGAUGUAGCAAUACAUUGGCGGCGACCGGCGCACGGGUGCGUAACACGUAUGGAACUUACCCUUUACUGGGAGAUAGCCCGGAGAAAUCCGGAUUAAUAUCCCAUAAUAAACGAAGUGGCAUCACUUUGUUUGAAAGCUCCGGCGGUAAAGGAUGGCCAUGCGCACGAUUAGCUAGUAGGUGAGGUAACGGCUCACCUAGGCUACGAUCGUUAGGGGGCCUGAGAGGGUUAUCCCCCACACUGGUACUGAGACACGGACCAGACUCCUACGGGAGGCAGCAGUGAGGAAUAUUGCGCAAUGGAGGCAACUCUGACGCAGCCAUGCCGCGUGCAGGAAGAAGGCGCUACGCGUUGUAAACUGCUUUUAACCGGGAAGAAACCCUCCGACGUGUCGGAGGUUGACGGUACCGGAGGAAUAAGCACCGGCUAACUUCGUGCCAGCAGCCG